rnacentral:rRNA from 1 species
GAUGAACGCUGGCGGCGUGCCUAAUACAUGCAAGUCGAGCGAACGGACGAGAAGCUUGCUUCUCUGAUGUUAGCGGCGGACGGGUGAGUAACACGUGGAUAACCUACCUAUAAGACUGGGAUAACUUCGGGAAACCGGAGCUAAUACCGGAUAAUAUUUUGAACCGCAUGGUUCAAAAGUGAAAGACGGCCUUGCUGUCACUUAUAGAUGGAUCCGCGCUGCAUUAGCUAGUUGGUAAGGUAACGGCUUACCAAGGCAACGAUGCAUAGCCGACCUGAGAGGGUGAUCGGCCACACUGGAACUGAGACACGGUCCAGACUCCUACAGGAGGCAGCAGUAGGGAAUCUUCCGCAAUGGGCGAAAGCCUGACGGAGCAACGCCGCGUGAGUGAUGAAGGUCUUCGGAUCGUAAAACUCUGUUAUUAGGGAAGAACAUAUGUGUAAGUAACUGUGCACAUCUUGACGGUACCUAAUCAGAAAGCCACGGCUAACUACGUG